rnacentral:rRNA from 1 species
GUAAAAGUCGUAACAAGGUUUCCGUAAGGUGAACCUGCGGAAGGAUCAUUAUCGAGUUCUGACUGGGUUGUAGCUGGCCUUCCGAGGCAUGUGCACGCCCUGCUCAUCCACUCUACACCUUGUGCACUUACUGUGGGUUUACGGGUCGUGAAACGGGCUCGUUUAUUCGGGCUUGUUGAGCGCACUUGUUGCCUGCGUUUAUCACAAACUCUAUAAAGUAUCAUAAUGUGUAUUGCGAUGUAACGCAUCUAUAUACAACUUUCAGCAACGGAUCUCUUGGCUCUCGCAUCGAUGAAGAACGCAGCGAAAUGCGAUAAGUAAUGUGAAUUGCAGAAUUCAGUGAAUCAUCGAAUCUUUGAACGCACCUUGCGCUCCUUGGUAUUCCGAGGAGCAUGCCUGUUUGAGUGUCAUGAAAUCUUCAAUCUACAAACUUCUUAUGGAGUUUGUAGGCUUGGACUUGGAGGCUUGUCGGUCCCUUUACAGGUCGGCUCCUCUUAAAUGCAUUAGCUUGGUUCCUUGCGGAUCGGCUUGUCGGUGUGAUAAUGUCUACGCCGCGACCGUGAAGCGUGUUUGGGCGAGCUUCUAACCGUCUCGUUACAGAGACAACUUUUAUGACCUCUGACCUCAAAUUCAGGGUAGGACUACCCGCUGAACUUAAG